AUUGAACGCUGGCGGCAGGCCUAAUACAUGCAAGUCGAGCGGAGCGGCGGACGGGUGAGGGAUGACUAGGAAUCUGCCUGGUAGUGAGGGAUAACGUACGGAAACGGGCGAUAAUACCGCAUACUAUCAGAUGAGCCUAGGUCGGAUUAGCUAGUUGGUGGGGUAAAGGCCUACCAAGGCGACGAUCCGUAACUGGUCUGAGAGGAUGAUCAGUCACACUGGAACUGAGACACGGUCCAGACUCCUACGGGAGGCAGCAGUGGGGAAUAUUGGACAAUGGGCGAAAGCCUGACCCAGCCAUGCCGCGUGUGUGAAGAAGGUCUUCGGAUUGUAAAGCACUUUAAGUUGGGAGGCGUUACCAACAUAAUAAGCACCGGCUAACUUCGUGCCAGCAGCCGCGGUAAUAC
rnacentral:rRNA from 1 species